AUAUUAUUAUACUAAUUUAAAAAAAUAUAUAUACAUAGGAAAUGUUAGUUUUGACAGUAAUUACACAAUAAUCGAUAAAUAUAUAAAUUAUCUUCAUCGAAGUUAUUAUAAUAUAUACAAGAAUCGAUAUAUUAUAUUCGUAUAUUUACAACAGUAUUUUGAUGAAAUAAAUUUAGAUGACUCAAUACAUAUAAACAUAAAAGAUGAGAUAUUAAUGUUAAUAAUUAUUUUAGGAUACUGUCUAAAUUUAUAUGGUUAUUCAUUGGAUUAUAUAAACAAACUGAGCUUAUCACACAGAAAAUGGAUAGAACCAUUGUACAGACAUAUAUGCGAACAAUUUCAUAAAAAUAUUAUAUCAAAAAAGAGUAGACGUGUGAAUAAUAGUGCUAAUUAUAAUAAUAGCCCUCUUGAUGAGGCUAACCGUUACAUUAAAAAGUUUGACAAAACUGCAUUUGUAAAUAAUUUAUAUUUGCCUGUAUAUAAUAUAAAUUUUAUGAACGAUACAUGUUCAUAUGUCGAUCACAGUAAUUCUGCGGAUACCUAUAACAGUCACACAGAUAAUAAACAAACCUCAAAUGGAUACAUUAAUAAGUAUUACAAUAGUAAUAAACAUAAUACGUCUAUACCGUAUACAAGUUGUGAUGACUUUGAAACAGAUAGAGGAUUUCUACAUUGCUCUAAUAAAACAAAUGUUUAUACUACCAAUUUAAGAUAUUUUGUAUCAUCAAACAUAAGUUAUAGGAGUUCAUUUAAUAUAUUAUUGAAAAGUAUUUUGUAUGAAAAUGUAUAUAAUAUAUUAAACUACUCUUAUCAUAUGAGAAAUAAAAAAAUUAUUAAAAUGAAUAAGUUAUUUGAUAAAGAUGAAGAAUAUCUAAAACAACAAUAUAAACAAUUUAAACACCAACAGGAAAAAGAACAAGAACAAGAGCAAGAGCAAGAGCAAGAACAAGCAGAGGAACAAGUACAAGAAGAAGAACAAGUACAAGAACAAGAAGAACAAGCAAAAGCAGAGGAACAAGAGAAAAGAGAGGCAAUGGUUUUAGAAAAAUAUGAUAUUUUAAAAAAAUUAGAAGAAUUGGGUGCGAACGUUUUAAAUGAUGUAAUAAUAGAAGAAGAUGCAGAACCACUAAAAGCAAUAGAAUUAUUAUAUGGGGAUUUGGAGGUAGAACUGAAUAUAUUUAAACGUGGUAUAACAAACAAUAAACACACCACAAGAAGAAUGUGGAGAAUUUUAAAAGAGAUUUCAAGCACAUUUGAAAACAUACAAUUUUUAUAUACAAGGUGUGCCCUGAGUUAUUUAGAAAGAAAGAAUAUGGAUAUAAAUAAAAAGAUUAUCGAGAAAAUGAAAUUAAUGGAUGUGACAGAAGAUGAUAUAAGAAACAUUUUAGAACAUAUAACUAAAAAUAACACAGUGUAUAAACUAGAAAAUCAUAAUUUACUUACUAACUUCAUUAAAAAAUACCAAGAAAAUAUUCUAUCAUCAUAUUUUGAUAUUAAAAAAAUUAACAAACCUGCAAUAUUUAACAUGUGCGUGUUAACAUACAAGUAUAUGAUAUAUUGUAAUUAUUAUGGCAAUAUGUACAUCGAUAUAUUUAAUCGUUUGCAUAAUGAGAUAGACAGUUUGUUAAAUGGGGCAAACAACUAUUUGAAGCAGCUAAAGGGGGAGGGGGACCCGAUUAGGCAAGAAGACUCGAAAAUGCACUCGGAGGAGAACAAUAAAUUUAAGGACUCACUAAUAAAUUAUUCGCUUAGUAAUAUAAAAACAAUGGAACGAGUACAAUUUACUUUGCAACAAUUAAAAAAUGAUCAUGAGUCUUGUAUGCUGGAAAAUUUACAUAUGGGUGAAGAUUGGAACAUUGGUUCUUAUUUAUUAGACAUUUAUCAACAUUUUAAUUUAUUUUAUGAUUUUUUUGUAUAUUUAAAAGAAAAUAAUAUAGGCUUACACGAUAACAGAAAAGAAGAUUUAUCUGCUAUUCAUAUUUCUUCUAUUGAUAAAGACGAAGUUCAAUUUUUGCAUUACCUAAAAAAUAAACAAAGAGCAUUAAAACUGUAUGAAAACUUUACAUUUAAGAAAGAUCUAAAAAAAAUAGUUCCUGGCAAACGUAAAUUAGAUAAAAUAGAUUCAAAUAAAUUGUCGUCCUAUUCAUACCUACACACUCAAAACGAUAAAAAAUAUGAAACGUAUGCCAAAUUAAAAAGGGGGAAAUAUACAAAUAAUUACGACGACAGUACUGUUGAGAUCCCCCAGGUAAAAUUUUAUCCCAGUUCAUCACGCAGCACAGAUGAAAUGUUACAUGAAAAUGAUUCUUUUAAUAAACUAUCUGAGCUAUUUAACUGCAAUUUAGAUUAUUUAAGAAUAUUUCAAAGGCUUUAUGAAAAUAAAAAUACAAAUCAUGUUUUUUUUAAAUAUUUAUCGCUAUUAGAAAAGGAAAAACAUUUUGUUUAUUUUUUCGAAACGUACACAGAAGUAAUACUAAGAAUUUUCCAGGAAUAUUAUGCAAACGGAUAUACAGAAACAUUAAUAUAUUUUGGAAACGAUAAAAGAAAUUUAAAUGGAGCAUAUAAUUUAAUAUAUUUAUUUAUUAAAUACUGCAAUUUUCCAACACAUUUUACAUUUUGGAAAACAGUUCUUGGUACAGAAAAAAACGAAAGCAUAUUUUAUCCUGAUAACAAAUAUAUACAUAAUUUUAAGCAUUGCAAAUAUAUAAAAGAUCAGCUGCGAAUGACAAAUGAAUUACUAAGCAAAACAGAAAACCUUGAUAUUAUGAAUUUUGAUUCUAUAUUUGAGAAAUCACACUUACCAUUCAUAUUUAGAAAAAUACAUGGGUAUAUGAAAAGAAAUGUAAAUAAAAAAAAACACACAAUUUUACUGUUAAAAAAAAGAAAUCAUAUACCAUUAUAUACAUAUAAAUAUCUUCAAGAGUCGUUGGACACAAGUGAAUAUCAAGCUCAACAAUUAAUUGACACACAUAAUAUAACAUUAAAUUCAAAACUAC
ensembl:lncRNA